rnacentral:pre_miRNA from 1 species
UAUGUACUCCCUACGUUCGGAAUUACUUGUCGCGAAAAUGGAUGUAUCUAGACGUAUUUUAGUUCUAGAUACAUCCAUUUCCGAGACAAGUAAUUCCGAACGGAGGGAGUAGUGA